rnacentral:rRNA from 1 species
AUACGGAGGAUGCGAGCGUUAUCCGGAUUUAUUGGGUUUAAAGGGAGCGUAGGUGGGAUAUUAAGUCAGCUGUGAAAGUUUGGGGCUCAACCUUAAAAUUGCAGUUGAUACUGGUUUCCUUGAGUACGGUACAGGUGGGCGGAAUUCGUGGUGUAGCGGUGAAAUGCUUAGAUAUCACGAAGAACUCCGAUCGCGAAGGCAGCUUCCCGGGCCGGAACUGACGCUGAUGCUCGAAAGUGCGGGUAUCAAACAGGAUUAGAUACCCUGGUAGUCCGCACAGUAAACGAUGAAUACUCGCUGUUUGCGAUACACGGUAAGCGGCCAAGCGAAAGCGUUAAGUAUUCCACCUGGGGAGUACGCCGGCAACGGUGAAACUCAAAGGAAUUGACGGGG